CCUGCUUCUAGGAUGGUAAAGAGCAGGAGAGCCGUCUGCAGCCUGAGACCUAUAGCUAGAUAACAUCAGGAGUGAGAUGCAAUGUAGAACUCCCUGUGAACCCUAAGAGCAUCCAGUGACCAAGCGAGGUUUCUGCUGGGCCAAUUGUGUCCAUUGCUCUCUUGCAGCAAAUGGAGACUGUGUUUGGUUGCAGGACUUGGGACAAGGUGAGAAGCUCUAGGGAAGCCUCCUUCUUGCUGCAGAGCUGCUUGGAUGCAAGAAUCAUUGUCGUGUACAAGAAAAAUAAAAUUCAAAGGUUCCGCAAGCAUCUGAAUGUAAUUCCUCAGCCGGGGCAUUCUAAAAUUUAACCUGAAAGACUGGUUCAGGCCAUGAUGGGAAGUGAGGGUUGGACACACCUCAUUAUACCUCUCCAGCACUAAUAUCAAGGCAGAUUUUAAGUCUGAUAAGCAACAUUUACAAUUAAUUUUCUCUGAAGUCUGCUACCUGGAGGUUUCGUCUGCAUAAUAAAACUUGAGUCUCCACAACCUUUUAUUAUAAAUGACACAUUCCUUUCUAGUCAUAACUGUUUCAACACAUUGCCAAUCAGAAAAAAAUUUCAAGCUAUGUAUAAACUGAAAGUCCCUUCUUCAAGUUGUUCCACAUUUCUGGACCAGACCAAUGUAUAUCUUAAAUGUAUUUGACUGAUGUCUUGUAUCUCCCUAAAAUAUAU